rnacentral:lncRNA from 1 species
AUUCCACCUGCAACCCUAAUUCCCUUUGUUACGUAGCAUAACAUAUUGACAGGUUCUCAGGACGUCUUUAGCAGGGGCCUUUAUUCUGCCAAUCACAUGAUCUCUAUGAAUCUGCUUCUUGUUUUUUUUUAAUUGGGUGACAUUAAAUUCUGAUUUCUUUCUUUCUUUUUUUUUUUUCUCUAGGGAGUCGUCUCUCAAGAGGACUUGAUCUCUGGCCUGUGAACUGCCCCACAUGUUUCUUCUGCACAUCCUGACUCCCAGGCCUGCACAGGGGACUUCUGCACAGGCCUGACUCCCAGGCCUGACAUUUUCUGGUCUGUCUUCGCCAUGGUCUGCUAUCAACUGCAGUUUUGAAUUCUGGUUUCUCUUAUUCUUUGUCUCUAGGCAAGUCAACAGGUUAGCUUCUUCCUCAUGUUGAGAAUUAUGUGGUUAAAAUGUAGAGAGUUAAUCAUAGUGAGUGAUUGUACUAAGCCCUUCUAUGGUUUCCAGCAGCAAGAAAGAAUAGAUGUUGCUCUUCUGCUUGUUGUUAUGCAGUAAUAGCCACUAUUCUUACAAUUUCAAUGUUAGCUCACUCAGUGCUUUGUUUUUCAAUGAACUGUACCACAGUUAGAAGAAUUUAGAGAUGGGUAAUGAGGAAAGAGUUAUAGAGCAGGGAGUGUGAGAAGCUGUGCUCGUUAUUACUUUAAAUUUUUACAAAGUGUGCAAA